GCUGGCGGUGUGCUUAGGCAUACAAGCCGAACGGGAAUCCGAAUUGUUCGGGAGGACAGUGGCGACGGGUGAGUAACGCGUGGGAAUCUACCUUGUAGUGGGGAAUAGCCUUUCGAAAGAGAGGGUAAUACCGCAUGUUUCCAAAUUUACUUGGAAAAAGACUUCGGUCGCUAUAAGAGGAGCCCGCGUCCUAUCAGGUAGUUGGUGGGGUAAUAGCCUACCAAGCCAAUGACGGGUAGCCGGUGUGAGAGCACGACCGGCCACAAGGUCACUGAAACACGGGGCCUACACCUACGGGUGGCAGCAACCGGGAAUAUUGCGCAAUGGGCGAAAGCCUGACACAGCGACACCGCGUGUGGGAAGAAGCUUUUCGGAGUGUAAACCACUAUGGCAAGGGAAGAAUUUUUGACGGUACCUUGCUAGAAAGCACCUGCUAACUACGUGCCAGAAGCCUCGGUAAUACGUAGGGUGCAAGCGUUAUCCGGAUUUAUUGGGCGUAAAGAGUUCCGCAGGCGUCUUUACAAGUUUCUUGUUUAAGCCUGAGGCUCAACUUCAGAAAAGCAAGAAAAACUGUAAAGAUUGAGUUUGUUUGGGGAAGCUGGAAUUCUCGGUGGAGGGGUGAAAUCCGUAGAUAUCGAGAGGAACACCAAUCGCGAAGGCAAGCUUCUAAAACAAUACUGACGCUAAGGGACGAAAGCUUGGGUAGCAAAAGGGAUUAGAGACCCCUGUAGUCCAAGCCGUAAACUUUCCUCGCUAGUUGCCUGGUUAAUAAUGCAU
rnacentral:rRNA from 1 species